rnacentral:rRNA from 1 species
AUGGCCACGCCACCGCCGCAGCCGCCGACCAUCCCCGACGAGCUCCUGGAGGAGGUCUUCAUCCGCCUGCCCACCCCGGACGCGCUCGCCUGCGCCUGCACCUCCUUCCACCGCGCCAUCAAAGGUCGUGCCUUCCGCCGCCGCUUCCGCAUGCUGCAUCGCCCUCCCUUCCUCGGCUUCAUGGACGCUGGCGGCUUCCACGCCGCCCAGGCGCCGCACCCCUCCGACCCGCUCGCCGGUGCCCUCGCCUCCUGCGCCGCGGAUUUCUCCUUCGUCCCGGAUGUCGUCUCUUCUUCUUCCUACUUCAUGCCGACGGGCGUCCAAGACGAACGGAAAGGCCCUCGUUGGCGCCCAUGCGACGUCCGCGACGGUCGCGUCCUCCUUGAUUGGAGAUCCCUCUACCCCGUUUCGUCCAGAUAUGGACCUACCACGAAGACGGCUGCGAGGUCCAGUACUUCAUCAUCCACAACCGCCGCAAGCACUGGCCACACGCCCUACCGUGAAACACUGUGCGCUAUGCUAGCCCCGUCGCCUCUAGCCACCAUUGUUGUCGCCACCAUCCGGAAGCUUGAUUUUGGCACUGCCCAGUUAAUCAUGCCCAUACUGCAGCUCCCAGAUCUUUGGGUCUGA